GGCGGAUUGCACGGGAACAGUCCGGUCCGAGGUAGACUCUUAACGAUGAACGCCUGCAGCUUGGAAAACAGCAGUACCAUCUGGGAAACGGCGGUGUUUCGAUGGAGUUUUGCCUCUGUGAAAAUGAACACAGAGACAGGAAGAAGAGAUUAUGCGAGGUCCUUCUUCUCAAUUACGCAUGGAUGAUUUUUACCUGGAGCGACUUCGUGAAGACUCUUCAUGGUUAUCGUCAACCCGUAUAUUCCGACAAGUAUACUCGCUACGGAACCUUCAACGAUACCAAGAAAAGAUACGUUCAAAUCACCAGUAGCAAGGCGAUAGUUGGCUCGGAAAAAAGGCGUCGGAUACGAAAAAAGUGAAGGCAGAGAAGAAGAAAUAACCUGGAUAAUAGGAAGUUGCAGGACUACCAACCGCAGCCAGGACAAAUUGGUGUCAGUCAUUUGAAGAUUUGGAAAGGGCAGACAGGGCCAGCAGCAACAAGGGCCGACUUUCAGCAUCAACGGCGGUGAAUUCGUGACGAUUUUGAAGCCGACGUAGACGAGCAGCAGAUAAAGCCUGUACAGGGCUAUCGUGAGGAAAAUUUGAGUCAGGGCUUCCGAUAGCAACUGGGUCCUGGAAAUCAUUUAAAGAGCGUCAGUGCGAUAAUGAAUUAACCAUCGAACCUUUAAACUAAAAUUCGAGCCUUCUCGAUAGGAAAAUAAAGAAGGACUUGGAUAUCUUUUCAUAACGAAUGCUGGAGACAGGGAAAUAUCAAUGGAAUUUUCGUGUCGCCCUGUUUGCUAUCAAAAGAACCCAUCAAAUUUUCGACAUCGACGGCUCAGGUGCGACACGGUCAGCAGGACAGCGUUAUCUCGGAAAAUCAAAAUCAUUAGUCGCACAGGACCGAGACCCUUUAUUCGUUUCAUCGUUAAAAAGUGUCUCAAAGGUCUGUCCUCUGCUUCUCGCAGGACAUUCGAUCGCGUUUCCGCUCCUUUUCCCGUGUCUCUUAAGUGGAUUUUCUGGUUUAUUUCACAGAAAAUCUGGACAAAGGACUCUUAGCCCUUGUUAAAGGUCCUCAGUCAAUUUUUCACCAUGUCCCUCAGGAUAUUUUCAAAUAAAUUUUGCCUUUUACCUUGGUAUUCCAAUCGCUGUUAAACUGCAGACACUGGCGACCGGGUAUACCAGAAGGAUCAUAAUGGCGUUGGUUUUGUAAAAUCUCGCCUCCUUUUGUUGAAUAACAUUGUAGCAGGCGUCCACUGCGAAGUAGAGUGUCAGGGUUGAAAGCACCGCUCCGAAACUUACCAAUCCUAUGCCAAAUGCUCCCAAACCUAAGAGAGAAUAGAAUAAAAAUUGCAACUAAAAUUUUAGAAACAGCAAAGCCGAGGGAUAAAUAAUUGUUAAAAAUAUACGACUGUAAACGAAGAAUCGCGAAGGAAUAAAUUAUCUACAAUGUCUGCAAAAA